UGGGGAAUAUUGCGCAAUGGGGGAAACCCUGACGCAGCAACGCCGCGUGAAGGAAGAAGGUCUUCGGAUUGUAAACUUCUUUGAUUGGGGACGAAGUAAGUGACGGUACCCAAAAAACAAGCCACGGCUAACUACGUGCCAGCAGCCGCGGUAAUACGUAGGUGGCGAGCGUUGUCCGGAAUUACUGGGUGUAAAGGGCGCGUAGGCGGGAAUGUAAGUCAGAUGUGAAAUCCCGGGGCUUAACCCCGGGUAUGCAACUGAAACUAUGUUUCUUGAGUGCUGGAGAGGAAAGCGGAAUUCCUAGUGUAGCGGUGAAAUGCGUAGAUAUUAGGAGGAACACCAGUGGCGAAGGCGGCUUUCUGGACAGUAACUGACGCUGAUGCGCGAAAGCGUGGGGAGCGAACAGG
rnacentral:rRNA from 1 species